rnacentral:sRNA from 1 species
AGGUGUCGCUCGUAAACUGCGGUUCCUCCGCGCUGUCCGCACCCAGCUGACGACCGCUCGCUAUCGGUUCUCAGCC